UUUUUUUUUUUAAACACAAGCUCACGUUCAUUUUGGAGGAUUUGGAAGAGACCAGAGUGUGGGCUGAGAGAAGUUUGAGAGUUUGAUUAAUUCUGUCUGAGCGGGACAGCCUUGAGAAGCCAUUUUGCAUGUGGUUGUGCAGCCCAGGUGCUAAACAAUGUCUGUGCUGCUUUGGUCCCACCAGGCCUGGUUGGACACCAAAUUGGUGCUAAAGCUGGAAGAACUUAACAUGGAAACAUUUCUUCCUAGAGCA
rnacentral:lncRNA from 1 species